CCACCCUUCCUACCCUCUUCCGUGGGCCUCUCGUCUGCGCUUGGUUCCGGCGACUCCGUUCUGCUAAUCCUCUGGCGGUUUUCUGGGUUAUUUAGGCAGGUGUAGGUGGAAUCUAAGUGAUCAGCAGGACGCGCGGUGAGCCCAGCGUCCUCCUAUGCCGCCUUCUU